ensembl:snoRNA
ACCCUCAUUUUAGAUUAGAAUGGCACUGUUGAUUGGUGUCCAAAAUUGGUCAAUGUAGCUAAAAUUGAGACACAGGUCAUGCUUCUAUCACAGUAAAUGUAUUACAGUGGUGAAGAGACCUGUAACAUUU